rnacentral:rRNA from 1 species
AACAAACGCUGGCGGCGUGCCUAACACAUGCAAGUCGAACGCGAAAAUCGGCUUCGGCCGAUGAGUAAAGUGGCGCACGGGUGAGUAACGCGUGGAUAAUCUACCCUUCAGUUGGGAAUAACUUAUCGAAAGGUGAGCUAAUACCGAAUAAAACUGCCUGACCACGGUCGGGUAGUCAAAGAUAGCCUCUGCUUGCAAGCUUUCGCUGAAUGAUGAGUCCGCGUACCAUUAGCUAGUUGGUGGGGUAAUGGCCUACCCAAGGCGACGAUGGUUAGCUGGUCUGAGAGGAUGAUCAGCCACACUGGAACUGAGACACGGUCCAGACUCCUACGGGAGGCAGCAGUGAGGAAUCUUGCGCAAUGGGGGAAACCCUGACGCAGCAACGCCGCGUGAGUGAGGAAGGUCUUCGGAUCGUAAAGCUCUGUCGGGUGGAAGAAAUGUAUGGGGUUAAUAGCCUUCAUACUUGACGGUACCACCAAAGGAAGCACCGGCUAACUCCG